UUUCACAAGGGUCUCUUUCUCCCUGACAUAGUAGCAAAAGCAAGCCAGGUUUUGAAACUCAGUUGGAUAGUAAGACAAUGAAGGGAGAACAGAGCAUCUCUGUACUUCUGCAUUGACUAUAGUGUGAAUCCAAUAUAUUCAGAUUUCCAGGAAAGGCUUUGGUACCUCUCAUUUAUUCUUUAUGUAAAUAUUUUUAAGCACCUGUUUCAAGCCAGGUGCUGUGCACAGUCUUGUAAAAGCAGUGAGGGACAGUGUUGACUACAUUGUAGACUCAGUCCUCAGCAUGGACAACUGCUCUGCCAUACUGGAUAUUGGUAGCUGAGGGCAGUGGAAGGCUAGCAUGGAGAUCUGAGACCACUUUCACCCCAAGGGAUCUCAGAAAUGGAAGGCCACAGAAAAGAGGAACAAAGAAGGACAUGAGAACACAUUAAACUUCUUCCCAGAACCACCACAAAUACUUGGGUGAAAUUCAGUGGGAUUUUUUAAAAAAGAUUUUAUUUAUUUAUUCAUGAGAGACACAGAGAGGCAGAGACAGAAGCAGAGGGAGAAGCAAGCUCUCCAUGGGAAACCUGAUGAAAGCUUAGUGGGAUUUCUGAGGGUUCUAUAUUCAUAGGUUGAAGCAAGAUCUAGAAUCAUUUAGGCUCUAACAAUUUGUGUCCCUGUAUUGUUUCCAAAGACUGGCAAAGGGAUUACAUAUGCAUUUGUUUAUUACUGAUACUAGACCAAGAAGAAAAGGAGGGGAUUUCACUUUUUUUUUUUCUAUUGUACACUGACUUAUCUGGUGUCUUCUCCAAUAUAACAAGAGGAUUUCAAAAUUAUCCAAAUAAUAUAUGUAUCAGAUCUCCACAUCCCUGGGACUUGCAUACAUCACAUUAUGUUUUUUUUAGUAAAGCAGUUGUAUGUAGUAAUUAUCAUCACCUCUGCUACAGGGUAAGAAAUAGGCUGAAGAUUGAGUCACUAAGUCAUAUCGCAUUCCUAAGAAUUGCUCAGUCAGCAUCUUUAAGCCAAGGAUGGUGUGAGCCAUAGCUUUAUUACCUGUUCAGUUGCAACAAUUUAAACUGAGAUUGAUUGAGUUAUAUCCACCAAAUGAUAGAAAAGAACUUGUAAUUACUCCCUGUUUCAGAGUAGCUUAUAAUAAAAUAUAUAUUUUUUAAAAUUUCAUUUCUCACCACAGAUAGUUUUGUAUAGGUAUGAAAAGACAUUAUAAUAUGUAAUUAUCUGUAGUGAAGCGUUGCAGUGGGCACAUAAAAAUAUAAAAGUUUUGUUACAAUUGUUUUAUUACAAUUGCUCAUUAAACAUUUAUUUAUUUAGAUGAAUGCCUUGAGCAUCUCCACAUUACCAGCUACUGUGCUAGACAGUGGAGAGAAAAAAUAAUUUUUUUCUAAAAGAAAUUUAUAGUUUAGGAAGGUAGAUGAGAUUUGUAUUCCAGAUAGAAAGGACUGUCAUCUGAAACAUAAUAAGUGCAUAAUAGAAAGAACACUAGAACUAAGUUUGUGCCCCUACCACAGAUCAGAGGUGGAUCUUCAUGCUGUUGAUGGGGUUCAGGGUAGGCCACCCCAAAAUAUGUCAUUCAGGCAUAUUGAUUAUUUUUUUGGAUUUACUUAUUUAGAGAGAGAGUGAACUUGAGGCAGGGGGAGGGAGAGAGAAGCAGACUCCCCCUGAACGGGAAACCCAGAAUCCUGAGAUCAUAACCUGAGCCGAAAUCAAGAGUAGGAUGCUUAGCUGACUGAGCCACCCAGUUUUUGAUUAUUUUGGAUUAAAGUUACUUAGGAAAUAGCCAGUGCAAGAAUGCUCUGACCCUUUUCUGUCCCCCUGAAAGCAAGAGAUAAAUUCCUCUGGUGAAAACUACUCUACCUGCACCUGCAGGGUGGAGACAUUGUUAUCACCAGAGGUAGAUAAUUAAGGGCUGAG
rnacentral:lncRNA from 1 species